CAGUAGCCACGGUAAUACGGAGGGGGCUAGCGUUGUUCGGAAUUACUGGGCGUAAAGCGCACGUAGGCGGCUUGGUAAGUUAGAGGUGAAAGCCCGGAGCUCAACUCCGGAAUUGCCUUAAGACUGCCGAGCUAGUAGGUGAGAGGGUAAGUGGAAUUCCGAGUGUAGAGGUGAAAUUCGUAGAUAUUCGGAAGAACACCAGUGGCGAAGGCGGCUUACUGGCUCAUUCUAGACGCUGAGGUGCGAAAGCGUGGGGAGCAAACAGGAUUAGAUACCCGAGUAGUCCUGUCUCUUAUACACA
rnacentral:rRNA from 1 species